rfam:Hordeum vulgare subsp. vulgare, WGS project CAJW01000000 data, contig: morex_contig_1595851
CUACUACUCCGUCCGUCCGAAAUUACUUUUCACACAAAUGGAUAAAAAUCAAUGUAUCUAGAACUAAAAUACAUCUAGAUACAUCCAUUCUUAUGACAAGUAUUUUUGGACGGAGGGGGUAUUUC